GGGCUGUUAGCUCAGUUGGUAGAGCACCGCAUUUGCAAUGCGGGGGUCAGGAGUUCGAAUCUCCUACAGUCCA
rnacentral:tRNA from 1 species